GCAAACUUGGUCAUUUAGAGGAAGUAAAAGUCGUAACAAGGUUUCCGUAGGUGAACCUGCGGAAGGAUCAUUAACAAAUCUAUUUUAAUGUGCCUUGGCACAUUAUUUAACCCGAGGGUAAUGUAGCAUUGCAUACUUGUAUGUACAUGUUUAUUACCUUCGUCUUUACGCUUGUUUGUUUGACUAUGUAUAUGUUAAUAUAUUAAAAAUCACUUUUAACAAUGGAUCUCUUGGCUCUUGCAUCGAUGAAGAACGCAGC
rnacentral:misc_RNA from 1 species